AUCUAUUCCACCCUAACAUGGUAUCAGAUAGCCUAUUCCCCUUCCCCUAGCCGCCAGCCUCCCUGGGCAGCCGCUACCAUGGCUGGUGACUCCCCUCUCCUCGUCGACGCCCCUGGGACUUCUCCUUUCCCGUUCCUGUAGCUGAUGAUGGACAUGCAACAUGUUGCGUGUGGUGGUUGCACAGCUGGGCGCCAAUUUCGUGGGCACCUUCAUCCUCAUCUUCUUCGCGACAGCGGCGCAGAUCGUCAACCAGAAGUACGGUGGCGCGAUCAGCCCUUCAGCCCUGAUGCUAGGCACGCUGGCGAGGACCACCAUGUGCAAGACGGUGAAGCUCAAGGACAAGAACGAUGAGAUGCCGCGCAGCUUCCGCCGCUGACGCGCAUGGGCACGACGCAUUGCCUAGACUGUCAUCCAUGGAGGUGAGUUGAGGCAGGGAAGGGUUUGGGGGAGGACCGAAGGAGAAGCCUGUGUUGGGGGAAGGAAGGUUGUGUGCGUGCGUUGGGGGGGAAAAGAAUGGUAAACGUUGUAAUUUUAUGAACAUAAACAUUGGUAGUGGGUCUUUUGCCAAAAAUAAUCUCAAAUAAGCUACUCUUGAGGAGAUUAUGAGAUUAUUAUAAUCUAGGCUUUAGAUUAUAUAAUCUAGACGUAUAAUCUAGGUGUUUGUUUACGCACUAGAUCAUUUACACUGGAUUAUAUAAUCCGGACAUAUUAUAAUCCGGAACAAACAGGGCCUAACCUUGUGGAUCCCUCUAGUCCACCACCUUUGUUUUUUCACAUGUAGGUUCACCCACACUACUCCUGUAUACGGCCCAUGUGCCCUCGAAUUCCCCUAGGCUAUCCUGUCAUUCCCAAUCAAGUCGUGUGCCACCUCGUCAGCCCUAACCAAACCACCGGUGACCCCAACGGUACCGACUUCGACCCUGACUUCCCUGACCACGACCUCAUCGACGGUGCCCUUGCAGCGCCGACCACUUCCCACUGCAACAACCUUGUGCAUGUCUAUCAUCGACGUGCCCGAGCGGGUGCACCGCCUUGCUCCCAGGCUUAGCUAGACAUCUAUCAUCCUCCUCUUUUUCACCAUGACCCUCACCACAUCCACCAGAUGAUGAUUCGACAAGCCAUUGGGGUUCUUCACCCUGUCAUUCGCCUUGUACUCUCCACGACAUCCUCUUUGUCUGUCUCCCCAAUGUUGUCUUAUGUUCAUAGCACCCUCACCAAUCUUCACUAGCGUCACGUUAUGGAGUACAAGGCCCUCCUUGCCAACCAUAUCUAGGACUUGUGCCACAUCCACAAAGUGGCAAUGUGGUGACUGACAAGCGGAUUUGGACAUAUAAGAGGAAGGUGGAUGGGUUCCCUGGACAGGUACAAGACUCGUUGGGUUCUCCGAGGCUCCACUCAGCACCCUGGAGCUAACUAUGAUGAGACGUUUAGUCCAAUGGUGAAGCCUUCUACCGUCUGUGCCGUUCUCUCACUAUUCGUAUCCCAUUCUUGGCUUGUCUAGAUGAACGUCAAGAAUGUGUUCCUCCUGGGACUCUUAUAGAGACCAUCUAUUGCUGCUAGCCCACCGAUGAUAUGGUCUGCAAGCUCAACAAGUCCCUCUAUGGUCCGAAGCAGGCCCCCAGAGCUUGAUACAACAGAUUUGUCGCUUAUUUGCUCUGAGUGAGAUCCGUUGAGGCUAAGUAAGACAUCUUUGUUCAUCUACCGAUGUGGCAGUGACACUGUGUACCUCCUCUUGUAUGUUGAUGACAUUGUCCUCACUGCCUCUUCUUCGAGUCUCCUAUCCUACAUUGGAUCAUCAUAGCCCUUCAACAUGAGUUCGCGAUAAAGAAUCUGAAUCUGGGUUCUCACCACUUGCUAGGGAUUGUUGUCGAGCUUCACUCGAAUGGUUUGUAUCUUCACCAGCGUCAGUACACCCUAGAUAUCUUGGCGCGCGCUGGUAUAUGAUGGAUUACAAGCCAUGUGCGACCCCGAUGGACAUGCAUAUAAAAGUCUCUGAUGAUGGUUCCCCUGUCAACAACCCCCCUACAUACUAGAGAGACAGAGCAUUUUCAACGCUCUUCAGUACUUUACUUUCACUAGGCCCGACAUCGUAUAUGCAAUCUAGCAUGUUCGUCUCUACAUGCAUGACCCCGGAGAGCCACACCUGAGUAGGAAUGGUAAUUUAAUCCGUGGAUUUGGAUAUCUGUCGGAUAUCCGACCCGACGGAUAAUGAUAUGAAUAUGUUUUUUGACCCGCGGGUUAGACCCGUAUCCGAUCCGAGAUAAAGUGGGCAUGGAUUUGGAUAUUAAAUCUCACCCGCGGGUAAUCCGUUGGAUAUCCGAAAUUAACCAUUAGUCCAUUAUUGCCAGGAUGAACAUGAUUCUACUAUCAUUGACUAAAAAAAUUCAAACACAGCUACUAUAGCGCUAGCUCAAGUGCUCAACACUACACUCGGAUCGGAUCAAUAUUGAUUGUCAUGUAUUUGUUUUCAUGUUGAGACAUGUAGACAUGUAUUUUUGUCAUGUUGAGAAUGUUGCUUGUUGAAG